GCACCGGUGGCCUAGUGGUAGAGUGUCCUCCUCUGAUGCGGGAGGUCGCAGGUUCAAACCCAGGUCGAGACA